rnacentral:lncRNA from 1 species
GAAUUGUGCAGAUUAUGCACUUUCACACCCUAUUAACACAACAAAUAUUUAUGUGAGGCCUAUGUCUACUGCACAGGUCAUACUAAGGCUGUCACUGGCACUACCACUAAGCAGGGAUUUGAUUAAAGAUGAAUUAUUCAUGCUAGAUUUUGCUUUAGUUCUUAAAUAGAGGUGAUAGGUUUAUGAAAACUCAUUUUGUUAUUAGGCUUUGUCCCGUAGAUAUGCUACAUAUAUACUCUUGCAUUUGUCAGAUACUAUGUUUAGCAAUAUAUAUUUAUAAAAAUGAAUUAUUCAUUAACGCCUGAGGCCAGUCUAUCACUUUAUAAAUGACAGUGGGGAAGCAUAAAAUGUCGAGUAAAUAAUUUAGAUUGAAA